GGACGGUGCCAUAUAUCUGCUGAGGGAGUUGAAGAUCAUCAACAUGUCUCUGGAGACUCUACAGUCCACCAGGAUCGGUAUGUCAGUGAACGCUGUGAGGAAGCAGAGUUCAGAGGAAGAGGUCCAGACCCUGGCCAAGUCACUCAUCAAGUCCUGGAAGAAACUACUGGACGGUUCUGAGGGGAAGGCUGUGGAGGAGAAGAGGAGGGAGGGCUCUCCUCUGAGGUCAUCUUCGUCCAAGGACUGUCCUGGAUCCAGCGA